UACGGAGGGUGCAAGCGUUAUCCGGAUUCACUGGGUUUAAAGGGUGCGUAGGUGGGUCUGUAAGUCAGUGGUGAAAUCUCCGAGCUUAACUUGGAAACUGCCGUUGAUACUAUCAAUCUUGAAUAUUGUGGAGGUAAGCGGAAUAUGUCAUGUAGCGGUGAAAUGACUUAGAUAUGACAUAGAACACCGAUAGCGAAGGCAGCUUGCUACACAAUAAUUGACGCUGAGGCACGAAAGCGUGGGGAUCAAACAGG
rnacentral:rRNA from 1 species